rnacentral:rRNA from 1 species
AUUGAACGCUGGCGGCAGGCUUAACACAUGCAAGUCGAGCGGAGAUGAGGUGCUCGCACCUUAUCUUAGCGGCGGACGGGUGAGUAAUGCUUAGGAAUCUGCCUAUUAGUGGGGGACAACAUUCCGAAAGGAAUGCUAAUACCGCAUACGUCCUACGGGAGAAAGCAGGGGAUCUUCGGACCUUGCGCUAAUAGAUGAGCCUAAGUCGGAUUAGCUAGUUGGUGGGGUAAAGGCCUACCAAGGCGACGAUCUGUAGCGGGUCUGAGAGGAUGAUCCGCCACGCUGGGACUGAGACACGGCCCAGACUCCUACGGGAGGCAGCAGUGGGGAAUAUUGGACAAUGGGGGGAACCCUGAUCCAGCCAUGCCGCGUGUGUGAAGAAGGCCUUAUGGUUGUAAAGCACUUUAAGCGAGGAGGAGGCUACUGAGACUAAUACUCUUGGAUAGUGGACGUUACUCGCAGAAUAAGCACCGGCUAACUCUGUGCCAGCCGCCGCAGUAAAAC